CUCGUUUUUUUUUCUUUUCUUUUUCCAUCUUCUUUCUCAUCUGUGUUGAAUUUUUGGACAACAAAACACAUAAGCUUGAAGAAGAGAGGCUACGAGUUUAUCCUGCGCAACUCAAAGAAAAGUAUUUUGAACAUAAUUUGGCGCUACGAGAACAAGUAUUAUAGUGGUGAAGGAGAAGAGGCAUUGAGAGUGAAAGGAAAUGGUUGUCGAAGAAGUGGAGGAUCCAGGAAAGUGUAAGGUGAAGUUUUUGUGUAGUCGUGGUGGUAAACUAUUACCAAGGCCUGCUGAUCGUAAGCUCAGAUAAUUGCGGGAGAAACUCGACUAGUUGUGGUUCCUCGUAAUAUCAACUUCAUCGGUAUGAAGAUUAGGUUUUGGAUUGUUUUCCUGUGCACCCUUUUUUAUCAACAAGUUUCUUAUUCUCGAACCUCAUAUACAAAUGUCUCAACUGUUUAUUUAUUUUCUCAACCAAUUUUUUAACAUUUUCGAACUAAAAUUGGAUUUUUAAUGGAAAUGUUUGCU